rnacentral:rRNA from 1 species
UACGUAGGGCGCGAGCGUUGUCCGGAUUUAUUGGGCGUAAAGAGCUCGUAGGCGGCUUGUCGCGUCGACUGUGAAAACCCGAGGCUCAACCUCGGGCCUGCAGUCGAUACGGGCAAACUAGAGUACUGCAGGGGAGACUGGAAUUCCUGGUGUAGCGGUGAAAUGCGCAGAUAUCAGGAGGAACACCGGUGGCGAAGGCGGGUCUCUGGGCAGUAACUGACGCUGAGGAGCGAAAGCGUGGGGAGCGAACAGG